rnacentral:rRNA from 1 species
GACGAACGCUGGCGGCGUGCUUAACACAUGCAAGUCGAACGGAAAGGCCCUGCUUUUGUGGGGUGCUCGAGUGGCGAACGGGUGAGUAACACGCGAGUAACCUGCCCUUUACUUUGGGAUAACUUCAGGAAACUGGGGCUAAUACCGGAUAGGAGCUCCUGCUGCAUGGUGGGGGUUGGAAAGUUUCGGCGGUUGGGGAUGGACUCGCGGCUUAUCAGCUUGUUGGUGGGGUAGUGGCUUACCAAGGCUUUGACGGGUAGCCGGCCUGAGAGGGUGACCGGCCACAUUGGGACUGAGAUACGGCCCAGACUCCUACGGGAGGCAGCAGUGGGGAAUAUUGCACAAUGGGCGGAAGCCUGAUGCAGCAACGCCGCGUGCGGGAUGACGGCCUUCGGGUUGUAAACCGCUUUCGCCUGUGACGAAGCGUGAGUGACGGUAAUGGGUAAAGAAGCACCGGCUAACUACGUG